UGCUGAUGGGCUGUCUUAUAUACAGCAGGGUGAGAGCCAUGAGGGAGUACACUCAGUAGUUACCCUUGCUUCAGUACCAAAGGCACAAUGCCGUGUGCUGGAGUUAGGAAUGGAAUGCUAUAUGCGCUUCCCUGCUAGAACCUCCGAACAAGCUCUCAAGGUCCAUUUGUAGGAGAACGUAGAGUAGUCAAGCUUCCAAGACUCCAGACACACCCAAAUGAGGUGCUGAAUGUGGAACACUAUAACGAUCU
rnacentral:sRNA from 1 species